rfam:Schistosoma rodhaini strain Burundi genome assembly, scaffold: SROB_scaffold0010904
AGCUUUUUGAAUCCGUGCUGAGAUUUCGUCAGACACCAACCCAUUAGAGCUGAUCAGAGAUCCAAGAUAAGUGAAGUU